CUACGGAGGGGACUAGCGUUGUUCGGAAUUACUGGGCGUAAAGAGUUCGUAGGCGGACUGACAAGUAAGAGGUGAAAUCCCAGGGCUCAACCCUGGAACUGCCUUAUAAACUCCCGGUCUUGAGUUCGAGAGAGGUGAGUGGAAUUCCGAGUGUAGAGGUGAAAUUCGUAGAUAUUCGGAGGAACACCAGUGGCGAAGGCGGCUCACUGGCUCGAUACUGACGCUGAGGUACGAAAGUGUGGGGAGCAAACAGGAUUAGAAACCCUAGUAGUCC
rnacentral:rRNA from 1 species